rnacentral:rRNA from 1 species
GUCCUUUCGCUUCUUCCCUGCUAAAAGAGGUUUACAACCCGAAGGCCGUCAUCCCUCACGCGGCGUUGCUGCAUCAGGCUUUCGCCCAUUGUGCAAUAUUCCCCACUGCUGCCUCCCGUAGGAGUCUGGGCCGUGUCUCAGUCCCAGUGUGGCCGGUCACCCUCUCAGGCCGGCUACCCGUCGACGCCUUGGUGAGCCAUUACCUCACCAACAAGCUGAUAGGCCGCGAGCCCAUCCCCAACCGAAAUUCUUUCCAGACGCAGACCAUGCGGYCACGUCACAUAUCCAGUAUUAGACGCCGUUUCCAGCGCUUAUCCCAGAGUCAGGGGCAGGUUGCUCACGUGUUACUCACCCGUUCGCCACUGAUCCACAGAGCAAGCUCUGCUUCACCGUUCGACUUGCAUGUGUUAAGCACGCCGCCAGCGUUCAUCCUGAGCCAU